UUUGGGCGUGUCUCCCUUCUCGGGAGACUCUCUCGACCCCACGAACCCUUGACCUCAAAUCGGGUGAGACUACCCGCUGAACUUAAGCAUAUCGAAUAAGCGGAGGAAAAGAAACUAACAAGGAUUCCCCUAGUAACUGCGAGUGAAGCGGGAAAAGCUCAAAUUUAAAAUCUGGCAGUCCUUGGCUGUCCGAGUUGUAAUUUAGAGAAGCGUCUUCCGCG
rnacentral:rRNA from 1 species